rnacentral:rRNA from 1 species
UCGGGAAUCUUCGGCAAUGGACGAAAGUCUGACCGAGCAACGCCGCGUGAGUGAAGAAGGUUUUCGGAUCGUAAAACUCUGUUGUUAGAGAAGAACAAGGACGUUAGUAACUGAACGUCCCCUGACGGUAUCUAACCAGAAAGCCACGGCUAACUACGUGCCAGCAGCCGCGGUAAUACGUAGGUGGCAAGCGUUUUCCGGAUUUAUUGGGCGUAAAGCGAGCGCAGGCGGUUUCUUAAGUCUGAUGUGAAAGCCCCCGGCUCAACCGGGGAGGGUCAUUGGAAACUGGGAGACUUGAGUGCAGAAGAGGAGAGUGGAAUUCCAUGUGUAGCGGUGAAAUGCGUAGAUAUAUGGAGGAACACCAGUGGCGAAGGCGGCUCUCUGGUCUGUAACUGACGCUGAGGCUCGAAAGCGUGGGGAGCAAACAGG